UUGAGAAACAUCUUCCUCCACUGCUUCUAAAAGGGCUGUGGUAGAGAACAUGAAUUAUGGUGUAUCCGGUGGCUGGCAACAACACGUCAGAAGUGGGCACCUCUCUGGGGACAGAAGAGAAAUCAGAGUCUUCCUUCUUCCUGCCUGCUGAAGCCAGAGGAAAAAAGACACCUUCCCAGCAUCAAACAAAAUUAACAUGGCAGAAAUACCUUUAUUUGGGAACAUGGAACGGCACCCUUUGAUGGACUUGAUCUAAAAAAUGGUUCCAAAUCACUAUGCUCCUUCAUUGUCCUGGUGCACCAAUACCUGUGAAAGUCUGUGUAACAUUGAUGGGGCCAUACCUUGUAAGUCCUUCCCAUCGCUGAUGUUCUUCUGUACCAAGUUAUCCUGCAAACAAGGAACAGCAGAUAAUGCAAAGCUAACAGUAUCCCUGGACAGAGCAGGAUACUCCUCCACUUUGUCUCUCUGAUACUGCAACCUGGAGACAAGUCACUUCUCUAAUGAGGCUGUGCAAACAUCAUGUGUUCCUACGUGGAAAGAAGCAGAGAAGGCCAGGAGCAACAGGACACACAGGUAAUCCAGUGACACUGAGCCUGAGAGUGUGAUGGGACUUUUACCCCUGUUUCACUGUUGCAUAAACACAACUGCCAACAUCUAAGGGAUAACUGCCCUGACUGUCAAGCAUUCACAGAGAUUGGAACACUGUUACUCAGAGCUUUGGAUCGUGAAGGAACCACAGGAUAAGCUACUGACUGACACUGCUGGAUUAAAUAUUUGCUGAUGAUACUUUUCCUAUCUUUCAAUGUCUAGCUGAGACGAAUGGUUUAUAACGACUACUUUUGGACGUACUUCUGUAGAGGGAGAGAGGUACUGAUUCCUAAGGACUGUGUUUCCUCGUUUCCUGUUUUAAAAGCAGAUAAAACAGGGGAUGCUCCCAUUGUCCAGUUCCUUAGGUUAAGCUUUUUUUUUUCUUUCCAUUUUUCUUAUUGGCUUCUCUUUAAUGUUAUCUAUUAAGACUCUCAGAUAUUGACCCCCAAGCUGCAUUAAUUUUGGUACAACAACCAGUUAAGAUAAUCCAUCAUUACUGGCAGAGCCCAAUCAAAUUAGGUCUUGUAAUGUCCCAGAGAAAGGGACAAUCCCAGUGGGAAAGGCUCACCAUUAGAAGGAUGAGAGAAAAAAAUAUAGAGGGAAGGGAAACUAGAGAAACAAUCACGAAAAAUGAUAUUGCUAAGUGUUUUCUUAGGAAACAACACUGAAACAAGUGAUUUGGAGGAAUUCCAUAUUUGUUCUGAGCUAUUAAUUUGUCUGCACAAUGGCAAGGCUAGGAAGUCUAGGGGUCAAGAAGAGAAACCAAAACCACUUUCCAAAAAUGCUGCAUGAUUUUCCAGGUAAGAAACUUGCUUUCAACUCCCCUAUUUACUGGAACACAGACAAUGAUUCACUUGAUCUCAGUCACAGGUCAGUUUAUAUUCUUAACAAUCCUCUGGAACCAAGCCAAAAAUCUUUUGAUCUUUAUCACAUGUAAUGAAAAUACAAUGUGAAGAUGCAGAGUGAGGGUGGAAUCAACAGCUUACAACCAGAAAACGUGGAUUUGAGAGAAAUUGGAGUACUCAUGGUGUAAAGCUGAAUCAGAUUUCACCACAGAAGUCUUAAAAUACAUUAAAAAAAAAA